rnacentral:rRNA from 1 species
AUUGAACGCUGGCGGCAUGCCUAACACAUGCAAGUCGAACGGAGUGGCGGACGGGUGAGUAAUGUCUGGGAAACUGCCUGAUGGAGGGGGAUAACGUCCGGAAACGGGCGCUAAUACCGCAUACUCUCCGAUGAGCCUAGGUCGGAUUAGCUCGUGGGUGGGGUAAAGGCCUACCAAGGCGACGAUCCGUAACUGGUCUGAGAGGAUGAUCAGUCACACGGGAACUGAGACACGGUCCAGACUCCUACGGGAGGAAGCAGUGGGGAAUAUUGGAAAAUGGGCGAAAGCCGGAUCCAGACAUGCCGCGUGUGUGAAGAAGGUCUUCGGAUUGUAAAGCACUUUAAGUUGGGAGGCGUUACCAACAGAGUAAGCACCGGCUAACUUCGUGCCAGCAGCCGCGGUAAUUC